rnacentral:lncRNA from 1 species
AAAGCUAAACGUAGCUAUAUUUUGGGUGGGACGGAGGGAGUACAACAAUAGCCAACUUUAGGUGCUGAAAUUUUAACAUAAUCCAUAAAGGCAUUAAAAGAAUAGCCACAUCAAUCAAACAAUUCUGGACAGAUUUGCAUAGAUGAACAAGAACUUGCAGCUAUUUUCAGUACAUUUCAGCAGGUAUUCUUUCUGAAUAAUUGAUAGCAAAUAAUCUUGCUCGUCCAAGCACCAACUUCCUUGAAUUCUUGAAAUUUCAAAAACAAAAAAAACUCGCAAAUUAGCCUGAAAAUAUACAUGUUGUUCAGUACCAAUGUAACACAUUCAAUGGCUGUGAUUGGUGGAAUCCUGAAGAAACUAAAGUACAUGAGGGUACUCAUAGAACUGAACAAUCACAUAGUGCAAAAAGAAGUGCAUUUGCUGUGAUAGGUGGAAUCCUGAAGAAACUAAAGUACAUUAUGCAGGCAGCAGUUUUCUCCUUUAGUGUUAGCAAGUAGCAAUAAUCACCAUUUGAAGGAAGAAAUUUAAAAGAUUGUAUAUAGCAAGAUUGUUCAUGAUCUGCAUCAAAGAUCAUGCAUAUUCACACUCUUUCCUUUGGCAAAAGCAAAAGCAUUACUGGCUUUGAUUCUCAAAAGAAGUAAAUGACUCUGUUCUUACAAGGAAUAUUGUGAGCACACUUCAUACUGCAAGAACCUGAGCUGUUCACUAUACACGAUGCACACUGUACAAUAUUAAUUGCUACCCAGAAACAACAUCAGAUGUCCCUACUGCUGAGCAGGAAAAGAUUGAGUGAAAAAUGGAAACAAGGCAUGCACUAACUUGCACAUAUGAGGACAGUUGAUUGGAAAAUUUAGUUGUACUGAAUUUUUUUCUCAGAUUUCUUAGCACUUCCAGAACAAGCCAUCAGUUUUAGUCAAGUAAAUGACAGUUCACUACAAGAAGUAACUUUUAGUCAAAGAUUACAAGGAGUUAGUGCAUAACUUUUACUUCUUGAAAGAAAAAAACAAAAACCCACUCAUUUAUUCUUCUUAAUAUAAUGAUACGCAGUUCUCGUGCGUGUUCGAGGAAAAAAACAAAUGACAGGAGCUCCAUAGUUAUGGUUGCAUAAUAUGAAUAUAAAAUAUAAAGUCAGAACCAUGCCUCUUAAGUUCAGAUAAAACUUAUGAUACCUUAUUCUAUGGACAGCUUACAUUGAAUUUACAAGUUCAAAGGGAGUCAAUGGCUCUUCAUUAGAUUUACAAGAAGAUAAUGGAGAAGGAAAGAAUCAACAAGACCCGGAACUACAAUUUCAGUACUAGGCCAACAGUACUACUCUGAACAAGAACAACAGAAUUAACAAGUCAGAUGAUGCAAUUGUCAGCUUCCAUUUAUCACUAGAAAAUAAAAAUAUCAUAGGAUUAGCCAUCUUUUCCCAAAUUUUACAGGAAUUCUACUUUGUGUAUCUCUUCUAUGUGCUUUGCUGAACCUAAUCCCAAUCACCGAAUUCACAUCUAUCAUGACCCAACUUUCUCAAAAUCCAUAGCGAAAUCAGGAUCUAUGCCAUCAUGUACGGACACAAAAGGAGCGAAUGACAUGACACCAUCAGUAGUAUUGCGGACACAAUCACACAAGAUUGAGAAGGGGCCACAUUUAUCUCACCCUAGCACGCAUCGGCGAAGAUGCAGUCGGCCAAUCGACCUCGAUGAUGGUGGAAAUGAAGGCCUUUCCCAGCUGCAAAGGGGUAAGUAGAUGAAGCAGUCCUCCCACAGUCCACUGCGUGGGGAGGAGAUGUCGGGUGGCCAGGCUGGGGACGUUGGCUGCGGCGGCAACUGCCACUAGGUUUCCACGAGACUCGCAAUGCAUGUUGUUUGCCGCUAGGUUUCCAUGAGACUUGCGAUGCAUGUUGGUGGAAGAGAAGCUGCGGGUUCUUUUUGGGUCUUUGUGGUUUUAUGCUCUCGUCCGCGGGCUUUGCAGCCAGGCCAACGUUGGGCCACCAAAACUUCGCAGCUGGGCCGCAUCCGCCACAUACGACGAUUUUGUAGGGUGGGUUUGUGGGCUCAUAUAAGAACCUGUCCCGCCUGCAAUCCUAGCCAAUAAGAUCUAACACGAACAGGUGGAACAUAUAAGCAUGUGUUUGGUUUGAGGAUGGAGUGGCUCUGUCCCAGUUUUUUAGUUAGGUUGAACCCAUUUCGUGCUCGUGUUUGGUUGAGAGGGAUGGGUUCAUUCUAGUUUUUUUUCUUGUUUUGAUGGAUUAGGAUGUAUAUGAUGGAUGACAUUUUAACACCAUUAGUCACCAUCAGCCAUGGAACCCAUUUGUCAUCCUCUAACGUGCAUCUUCUUCCUCCUCUCUUUCUGCCGCAGCUGUUCUUCCCAGCAGCAAUUAGAGAACCAAUCUCUCUGCUCCUUGCCUCUCCUCCCAUCUUACAAGAAGCUAGCAGCUGCAGACUGCAGUUAGCUCCACGCCCAUCUAAUUUUUCUUUGCUCCCAUCAAACCAAGCAGCAGCUAGCCAUCAUCUCUCUCCCAUCAAUCUAUUGCCUCACUGCAAGCAUCACGACAAACUUACGCUCUUCCCCAAAAUAAAAUCCAAGCACCAGCACAGCUGUGCCGCCCGCUGCAGCCUGGGUUCCUGCUGCUGUACGAUGGCACCUCACGUAUGUGCAUGGGCUGCUGACGUCGCUUGCAGCGGCGCUUGUGCAGCUCUGCCUGCGUCCCCCAGUCUAUCUCCGCUGCACCGUGCCCACUCCUGUUCCUCCCCUUGCCUCCUGCCCUCCUUGUGCUGCUUGCAAGGAACUUUGCCUGCUCUCGCUCUCGCUCGCCUGCAGGCUCGCAUGCUGCACGCGUGAAACGGAGGAUGGGAGGAGCGGCGGCAUCCAUCUGGAUCGAGUUGGUCCGAAGUACGGAGCCACUCCAACCCACAUGAACUCCCAACCAAGUACGGGUUCAACCUGGUUGAACUUGUACCAACCCACUUCAACCCACCAUUCAAACACAUACUAAUAGAACACAUGCAUAGGAUAAUAUAGUGGCAAUAUUAUAAUAGGAUGUGAAUCAAAAUCUGAAGUUUCACAACCGUCAGAUGUUGAUGGCAUCUCAUCUAACAAGCCCACAACCAUUUGCAUCCUCUACAACUACAAGCAUUGCUUACUUCACUUUGUAAUGAAUGAGGGAGUUUUUCUUAAUAACUUAAUUCUAGGUACAUACUGCUCUUUAUCAGAGCUAUCAUAGAGAAGUACGGAUCUAGAAUAUAUGGAUAACAAAGUAUCUAACAGUGUUUCUUAAAUUCUAAAGCAGUGCAUCUGGAGCCCAAACUGCUGCAGUCAAGAGGAGGAUGAUACCGAAAUCGACAUCACUGACGAACGCAUAGAUACUUUUGAGGCAAAUGAUGGAGCCUUUGGCUUUACCGUGAAGGAAGCUGUUCUCUUCCCACCAGAAGUAGAGAGGGGCAUGUGGCCAGAGAAUUACAGUCUCUCGGAUCAUGCCCCCCUCACUGUGGUGUUCUCCCCUGUUAGAAUGCCCUGCUCUCCACGCACUCCUGGGACUCUCUAGCCAUCGAAUGUCAAUGUUCACAUGCAUACAUAUACAAUUACUGUACAGCAGUAGGUAUGGCGGGGGACAUAGUACACACAACUCAGAGGCCGAGAUUUAGGUACCCAAAGUAGUGACUAGAGGCGAGAGAAUAUUUUUUGGGUUCAUGUCUACGGUUGCUACUGGCCAUUUUUUGAACAGCGUGCUUCUGCUUGUUGUUACCUAUACGUAUCUAAUCCUUUUUCCAUUUCUCAAUAAAUGUAAAUUUCCUACUUGCAAAUUUUGGACCGAGUAAAAUUUGUAGCAGAAAUCGUUCGGCUUAGUUGUUGAUAUCACGAGAUUUUCAUUUAAUUUCAGAAAGUUUUAGAACUAUGACAUCAAUUGCAAUAAGUAACUGAUGGACCCACAGUAAAUUAGUUGCCAUUUCAUUGACCCUGUACCUUUGGCGUUGCCAACAUGUUAGUAAUGUGCACCACGUGCAAGACGAACUUAGAGAGACAGUAACAUGGUGCAAACCCGUUCUGAGUGGAAACGUGAAAACUCCUCAAAAAUUCAUAUUUGUAAGUAUCCAAAACUUUGAAACAAUACACAUCUAGUUUACCCAUAGAUAUACCUUAUGGCAAAAGUUGAGGUGCAAAAUUGCCUUUGUAAUAAUUCAUACGAAAAUGACAAAUUUUAGCACUAGAAGAUAAAAUUCCCAGUGUACGCACAUAGAAUUCGUCAAUUUCGUUUGAAUUUUUCUAGUUUGAGUUUGCAUCCUAACUUUUGCCACAAAGUGCAUAUAUGGAUGUGCAUCAUUUCAAAACUUUUGAAUACUUGCAUGUAUGAUUUUUUUGAGAUAUUUUUACAUUUCCAGGAAACUAAUGAGACGCUUUGGGACAGUGCUGUCCUUUGUUGACAUGGCUUGGUACCAAUUUGAUUCAAUUGCUAUAUCAUACUAGGAUGGUGGGCGCGCUUCGCCGCGCCUGCACUUGGGGAUCGCAGCAGUACACUGUGGAAGUGGCUGUUUCAAACAUCAGCACAUCGGCUUGCAGCCUUCGGUAGCGAAGCAGACUGGUAAUGCCGCUUGGUCAGUUGGUCUAAAAGAGAAAGGAUGGUAGGUUUCAUUACAUAUAUAGCAUUGACAUGUCAGAACAUUACCAAUUAUAUAUAUACACAUACAUAUAUACAUACAUAUAUGUAUAUACAUAUAUCUAUAUAUGUAUGGCCUCCGCUAUUUUUGGUACCCAGGGUACAGAAUAUUCUGUCCCCGAGCCCCCCACCGACCCAGCGCGCGUCUCGCUUCCGUCCGCCACCCGCGCCUCCCUCUGGUCGAUUUUCUUUCGCCACGCAGGGAACGAGCGCCCCUCCCACCGGUCCGAUGGUUUUUUUUUUCCGCGGCCUUUUUUGUUUCGCUCGCGUGCGGUAGCGUGCGAUGGUUUUUUUUUCCAGGUUUUUUGUUUCCCUCGCGUGCGGUAGCGUGCGAUGGAACAGAGAAGCAGAUUGCAGGUCCAGGAUGUGCGGAGGUUCGAUUCCAGCCUGGUUUUAAACGUCAGUCAAAUAGAAGGUAUUGUGAAUUUCAAGAAGAAAAAAAGUUUGCACACUGGAAACUAGGUGUCGGUCAAAUAAAAUCAGAUUUUGUUGGAGGAAAAAUAGUUUCUUUACAUUUUGAGUGGAAUAGGCAUUUGAUAAGGGGUAAUCUAUAGUACUGGUGCUUGCGUCGGAAGAAUUUUCCAAGCAGAAUCAGGAAAAAACCAAAUAAAUUUACAAUUGGGAGACACUGAUUUCAGUUUGUAACGGUAUGUAGCAGCACUGUAAAUUAAUUUAUCUUUACAUAAAGAACCGUGAUUGCAAAAAGUGUCAUAAAAGAAACAAAAACUUGGAUCGAAUACAAUGAUUUUUUGACCGAGUACAUUAUGCUAUUUCAAUGAUCAUAUUUAAACGGGGCACAAUAUUGUCCAUGAGAAUUCAAUACACUCUGCUAUUUCAUUGAUCCUGUUUUUACAAUUUGGGGAACUACAAUAAACAAAAAGAAAAAUUAACAGACGUAUAGCCAAUCGACCAUCCCGUGUGCAGGUAACCAGCAUGCAUAUUGCAAUAUGCAAAAGAGCUAAGUAUUAUUAGUAUAUGCAGGUUAAAGACAGCCCAUAUACAUUGUGGAAGAUCGUUAACAAUAGAUUGGCAUGUUUGUUGCAGCAAGCCCCAGGCAUGAUAUUUCUUUCAAAAUUAUUUAACCAAUUGAAAAUUAAAAAUACUGUUAAUAUUUUGUCACCCACCGGUCCAAUUGCAAGUUAACUGGUUAUCGUGAUUAUAAAUUUUGGAUCUUGUCAAGAUAGAAAACCAUAUAGCUCCAAAAGAGUAGAGUAUAUCCAUAUAGCAAAAGAUCUUUAGGUCCGGUCAUAGAAAACUAUCUUUCUCUGCUAGUAUGAAGUCAACCAAACAACCAAAAUAGUAGUUUAGAAUCACCUAGUUUAGAAUCUCAAGACAACUGACACAAAUUUGUGAACUGAACAGUAACAAUCUUGGCAACGUAACUUUAAUCUCUGUAUAACUGAAAGCUGCAGCCUUUAGAUCAAUUGUGCAUUGGUUUAAUCCAUCCAAACAUAUAGCUAAUCAUGCAUAUUAGCAGCUUCCCUAUUAAAUGUUCGUGGACUGCAACAUUUGCCAGCAGGAGAAUCACUUUGUUUCCGUAUGCUGAAUAUGAAUUAGUUUCAGAAACGUGUCAUGGGGUAAGUUAAUUUGAGUUCCUUUCAUCCACACAUGUCAGCCAUGAUCGAUGUACCCACAUCAUAUCCAAUGGGUAGUUGAUUAAUUAGUUACCUGUAUCCAGUCUUCCCGCGAACUGUUGCCUUGGCCAUUACUCCUGCUUGCUGCUGCAGCUCGCUCGCAUCCUGGUACGGCAAAGUUCCAAAUUCAAUGGAGCGUUUUAGAAAGAAAUGAAAGAGUUCAGGAACAUGAACUCCUAUUUGAGUACAUACGCAUCUGAUAUUUAACCCCGAAAAAAAAACAAAAAAA